rnacentral:rRNA from 1 species
GGGAACUGUGAGACAGGUGCUGCAUGGCUGUCGUCAGCUCGUGUUGUGAAAUGUUGGGUUAAGUCCCGCAACGAGCGCAACCCUUAUCCUUUGUUGCCAGCGGUUAGGCCGGGAACUCAAAGGAGACUGCCAGUGAUAAACUGGAGGAAGGUGGGGAUGACGUCAAGUCAUCAUGGCCCUUACGACCAGGGCUACACACGUGCUACAAUGGCGCAUACAAAGAGAAGCGAACUCGCGAGAGCAAGCGGACCUCAUAAAGUGCGUCGUAGUCCGGAUUGGAGUCUGCAACUCGACUCCAUGAAGUCGGAAUCGCUAGUAAUCGUGAAUCAGAAUGUCACGGUGAAUACGUUCCCGGGCCUUGUACACACCGCCCGUCACACCAUGGGAGUGGGUUGCAAAAGAAGUAGUUAGCUUAACAAUCGGGAG